rnacentral:siRNA from 1 species
UUUGAUGGUCGAGAUGUUCA